rnacentral:rRNA from 1 species
GUAGGUGGCAAGCGUUGUCCGGAAUUAUUGGGCGUAAAGCGCGCGCAGGUGGUUCCUUAAGUCUGAUGUGAAAGCCCCCCGGGCUCAACCGGGGAGGGUCAUUGGAAACUGGGGAACUUGAGUGCAGGAGAGGAAAGUGGAAUUCCACGUGUAGCGGUGAAAUGCGUAGAUAUGUGGAGGAACACCAGUGGCGAAGGCGACUUUCUGGCCUGUAACUGACACUGAGGCGCGAAAGCGUGGGGAGCAAACAGGAUUAGAUACCCUGGUAGUCCACGCCGUAAACGAUGAGUGCUAAGUGUUGGGGGGUCUCCGCCCCUCAGUGCUGCAGCUAACGCAUUAAGCACUCCGCCUGGGGAGUACGGUCGCAAGACUG